CAACAGACUUCGGCCACAGGAAAUUCGGGUUCUGCCAUGGAGAAAGAAUGUAGCGAAUUGCGAUACUUGGUGGAAAUUGCAGAACCUCGUGACCCAUAGAGUCUUUGAACGCAAGUUGCCCCGGAACCCAUUAGGCCGAGGGCAGCUCUGCCUGGCAUUCACGC
rnacentral:rRNA from 1 species